AUUGAACGCUGGCGGCAGGCUUAACACAUGCAAGUCGAGCGAGCGGCGGACGGGUGAGUAAUGUAUGGGAAACUGCCUGAUGGAGGGGGAUAACUACUGGAAACGGUGGCUAAUACCGCAUACUAUCCGAUGUACCCAUAUGGGAUUAGCUAGUAGGUGGGGUAAUGGGUCACCUAGGCGACGAUCACUAGCUGGUCUGAGAGGAUGACCGGCCAAACGUGAACUGCGACACGGUCCAGACUCCUACGGGAGGCAGCAGUGGGGAAUAUUGCACAAUGGGCGCAAGCCUGAUGCAGCCAUGCCGCGUGUGUGAAGAAGGCCUUCGGGUUGUAAAGCACUUUCAGCGAGGAGGCGUUACUCGCAGAAGAAGCACCGGCUAACUCCGUGCCAGCAGCCGCGGUAAUUC
rnacentral:rRNA from 1 species